GAUGAACGCUGGCGGCGUGCCUAAUACAUGCAAGUCGAGCGAACAGACGAGGAGCUUGCUCCUCUGACGUUAGCGGCGGACGGGUGAGUAACACGUGGAUAACCUACCUAUAAGACUGGGAUAACUUCGGGAAACCGGAGCUAAUACCGGAUAAUAUAUUGAACCGCAUGGUUCAAUAGUGAAAGACGGUUUUGCUGUCACUUAUAGAUGGAUCCGCGCCGCAUUAGCUAGUUGGUAAGGUAACGGCUUACCAAGGCAACGAUGCGUAGCCGACCUGAGAGGGUGAUCGGCCACACUGGAACUGAGACACGGUCCAGACUACUACGGGAGGCAGCAGUAGGGAAUCUUCCGCAAUGGGCGAAAGCCUGACGGAGCAACGCCGCAUGAGUGAUGAAGGUCUUCGGAUCGUAAAACUCUGUUAUUAGGGAAGAACAAAUGUGUAAGUAACUAUGCACGUCUUGACGGUACCUAAUCAGAAAGCCACGGCUAACUACGUG
rnacentral:rRNA from 1 species